UGCCAGAAGCAGGCUUGAAAAUUGAUUUCCCUGCGUGUGGUGCUUGCAGCGUGUACGGCAGCCAUGCUCAGCCACGUGACAAAACACCUUUCUUGAGUUCCUUUGCCUGGCUCUCCAUGCAUCUCUUUUUUCUAAUUUUACACUUGGGUCUUCUACAUCCUUGGAGAAGAGGAAAUCACCAAAACUCCUGCCAAUGUGCAAGAGGAAAAAGCAUGUUCAGGUGGAGAAAAUACCAUAGUUCCUAAUGUCAGAGUGCUGCAUGGGUAAAUGAAAAGAAUGCACGUUCCUGAUUCCACUCCCAAAACCAAACCCCUCAGGGAAAUCCUUGAACUUCUCUCCACCUAAGACCCCAGCUGAGUUUCCUUCUUACCUUCUCCCCAUAUUCACACAUCCCCAUGGUGGGAUCUGAGUGUGGAAAGAGCAGAGUUGCACAGACUGAUUUGUAAGAGAAUAAGACUGAAAAUUCAUGUGGAGGAAAGCAACAAAGCCAGCAGCAAAAACGCCAAGAAAGCUUUGAACUGCUUGUGUCAACUUCUUCCCUCCUGAAUUCUCCUGAGGACCUCUGCAGUCUGAAAGGUCUGAUGCAUUGGGAACAUGACACCUUUUAAGAGGCACAGGAAUCCAGUGUGAAGACUGUUUUUGGUACAAUUGAAGGUGACAGAGUUUGGGGGUGGAGAGGGGAGUGGGGUUAUGUGUGUGUAAAUCAGGAGUUGAUACUGGAGAUUGGUAUAUCCCCUUUUUCUAACAGUAGAGGAAUUUUUCUUAUGGUUUGUUUUACUAAAAUAAUUUGGUCUUCUCAAGAGUAUCUGACAGAGGAAUCUGGAAAAAAAGUGGUGCUAAAACCAACCUGCAUUUACUCCACAGCUGAACUUUUUAAGUGCUGUUUUCCCACUGCUUUAAUGGAUCUUACUUCCCUGUAAGCAGAAUGGGUUUUCAGGGUGUGGAGCACUGUUGCAGUGUAUAAUAAGGGAACUGAGUGGUGUGAACCCUUUGGGACUUAUUUCUUUAAUACCUGGAGCAACUCUAUUGCCAGUAGGUCUUGCAAGUACACAGGGCACUGUAGUGACUGCUGCACCUGCAGUUACGAGUUGGUAACCCCAAAGGCAUCUCCUUCCUUAUCCUUGUGAGGCAGAAUGUUGUUGAACAAAUUAGGACCAAGUUUGUUAAAUAUCAACCACACAUCACUUGGGAUGUGGCUGUUUAAAUACUGUCUGGUUUACCCUUUAUUUUCUGCUAUGCUAUUUUAUAAUGUAGAAAAAUAUUUAAUAUAAAUUGUAAUUUCUAUUCCAAUCACCUUGUGUUAUCUUAUAAAGCCAUAAUUUAAAAGGCAGUUUCUGCGAGAGCCAUUUGUGCCAAGAUCCUGUGUCCUGCUCCUACUUCACCAAGAGAAAAAUUAUUGGUCUUGUCCCUUCAGAUUCAAGAACCUUUUUCAGAGAAUGUGGACUCUGCUGGAUUUUGGUAUCUUCAUCUUCUCAUUUAUCCUGAUUUUGUAGCAGCUGAAAAACUGUCCCAGUCAUAAUUUCAUAAGCCAUGUGUUCAAGGCUAUAAAGGAAAACAGGAACAGUUUGCAUGGAUUUUCAUUCCAGGUUUGUAUAAGGGUAAAUGGGCACUGGCAUUUUCAUUCAUUUGCAGUUCUAAAGUUCAGACCAAGAUCAGCAAACCCGAGGCUUACCAAUAACUGAGGUGCUAAUGGAACAAGAGAGAAGGAGAAAGUAGGGGUAAGAAUUAAACUGAGUUUCACUUUAAAUCAUGUGCAAUUGCAAAACCAGAAUCCAAGCUGUUGUCUAAGAAACUGCCAGUGCUCCUGGAGUCAUGUGGAGGGUCUGUAUGUAAAGGAUUGUUUCCUUUCAAUGGGAUUUACAGUUUGUAGACAAGAGCUAUGUUGUGUAUUGUAUGGCCAGAGCUAUGUCCAUUUCAAUUAUUACAGUUAAAAUCUGCUGGAAACACAGAUCUUGCUGCUCAUGUGAUCACUGAGCCACGGCCAGCUGCAGGGCUGCAGGCAGCACUGAACAGGAAGGACAAGUGGAGUCCCUUGCUCCCGGGGCAGUAAUGCAGUGAAAAUCCGAGCUGCUGCUGUACUGUUGGAAGCGUGGCUGAGCCAGGGUUCAGCACUGCUGCCGGCUGGGGCUGCUGCUGAGCUGUCCCCUCCUUGCUGCAGCCAGGGCAGCGCUGCGGCCCUGGGGACAGACACUGCACAGGCUGGGCCCUCCCCGAGCCACGGGGGCGUCCUCUGGAUCUGCUGCCCUGUGCCCCUGGCACCCCCACGCUGCUUGCACAGGUAAGCGCGUUCCAGCGAGGAGCAGCAGCACCAGGGGCUUUGCCCUCUGCAGGCAGCUGCCUUUGCCAGCGGUGUGGAACAGCUCCUUCACAGCUGAGCUGCGGCUCCUCACCCUCAGGUAAAUUAGCAAAUGUUUAAGGAUCUGUGCUAGAG